rnacentral:rRNA from 1 species
AAGGAUACGAGCAUACUGCAAGGACCUCAUGAAUAUGGGAUUGGAAGCUUCCAUCAUAUAAUGAUCGCGUAUUAGCGCACAUGAAUAGCAGCAUGCUCCUACAUAUGUAUGGGAUACAAGUAACACCGAAGCAUACGUUCAA